GAUGAACGCUAGCGGCAGGCCUAAUACAUGCCAGUCGGACGGGAUUCAGGAGCUUGCUUCUGAUGAGAGUGGCGCACGGGUGCGUAACACGUAUGUAACCUACCUUUAUCAGGGGGAUAGCCUCUCGAAAGAGAGAUUAAGCCCGCAUAAAAUCACAGCACAGCAUUGUGUAAUGAUCAAAUAUUUAUAGGAUAAAGAUGGGCAUGCGGAACAUUAGCUAGAUGGCGGGGUAACGGCCCACCAUGGCGACGAUGUUUAGGGGAUCUGAGAGGAUGGCCCCCCACACUGGUACUGAGACACGGACCAGACUCCUACGGGAGGCAGCAGUAAGGAAUAUUGGUCAAUGGGCGGAAGCCUGAACCAGCCAUGCCGCGUGCAGGAAGACGGCCCUACGGGUUGUAAACUGCUUUUAUACGGGAAUAAACCCAGAUACGUGUAUCUGGCUGAAUGUACUGUAAGAAUAAGGAUCGGCUAACCCCGUG
rnacentral:rRNA from 1 species